rnacentral:rRNA from 1 species
GACGAACGCUGGCGGCGUGCUUAACACAUGCAAGUCGAACGUGAUUUUUGUGGAAAGCCCUUCGGGGACGGAAAUGAAAUGAAAGUGGCGAACGGGUGAGUAACACGUGAGCAACCUACCUUACACAGGGGGAUAGCCGUUGGAAACGACGAUUAAUACCGCAUGAGACCACAAAGCCACAUGGCUUAGGGGUAAAAGAUUUAUCGGUGUAAGAUGGGCUCGCGUCUGAUUAGCUAGUUGGAAGGGUAAAGGCCUACCAAGGCAACGAUCAGUAGCCGGUCUGAGAGGAUGAACGGCCACAUUGGAACUGAGACACGGUCCAAACUCCUACGGGAGGCAGCAGUGGGGAAUAUUGCACAAUGGGGGGAACCCUGAUGCAGCGACGCCGCGUGAGCGAAGAAGGUUUUCGAAUCGUAAAGCUCUGUCCUAUGAGAAGAUAAUGACGGUAUCAUAGGAGGAAGCCCCGGCUAAAUACGUGCCAGCAGCCGCGGUAAUACGUAUGGGGCGAGCGUUGUCCGGAAUUAUUGGGCGUAAAGGGUACGUAGGCGGCCUUUUAAGUCAGGUGUGAAAGCGUGAGGCUUAACCUCAUUAAGCACUUGAAACUGGAAGGCUUGAGUGAAGGAGAGGANAGUGGAAUUCCUAGUGUAGCGGUGAAAUGCGUAGAUAUUAGGAGGAAUACCGGUGGCGAAGGCGACUUUCUGGACUUUUACUGACGCUCAGGUACGAAAGCGUGGGGAGCAAACAGG